UACGGGGGGGGGCAAGCGUUGUUCGGAAUUACUGGGCGUAAAGGGCGCGUAGGCGGCCUGCUAAGUCGGAUGUGAAAUCCCUCGGCUCAACCGAGGAACUGCAUCCGAUACUGGCGGGCUUGAAUCCGGGAGAGGGAUGUGGAAUUCCAGGUGUAGCGGUGAAAUGCGUAGAUAUCUGGAGGAACACCGGUGGCGAAGGCGGCAUCCUGGACCGGUAUUGACGCUGAGGCGCGAAAAGCUAGGGGGAGCAAACGGGG
rnacentral:rRNA from 1 species